rnacentral:tRNA from 1 species
GGAAGGUUAGCCUAAUCGGUAAGGCAGCAGUCUUGAAAACUGCCGCGCAGGAGUCGCUUGCGGGUUCGAGUCCCGUGCCUUCCU